GGAAGGAUCGCAUAGCGGUCGAGUGCGCCUGCUUGGAGAGCAGGUAGGGUGUAACAACCCUCCAGGGUUCGAAUCCCUGUCCUUCCG
rnacentral:tRNA from 1 species